rnacentral:rRNA from 1 species
AUUGAACGCUGGCGGCAGGCCUAACACAUGCAAGUCGAGCGAGCGGCGGACGGGUGAGUACUGUCUGGGAAACUGCCUGAUGGAGGGGGAUAACUACUGGAAACGGUAGCUAAUACCGCAUACCAUCAGAUGUGCCCCGAUGGGAUUAGCUAGUAGGUGGGGGAACGGCUCACCUAGGCGACGAUCCCUAGCUGGUCUGAGAGGAUGACCAGCCACACUGGAACUGAGACACGGUCCAGACUCCUACGGGAGGCAGCAGUAGGGAAUCUUCGGCAAUGGACGAAAGUCUGACCGAGCAACGCCGCGUGAGUGAAGAAGGUUUUCGGAUCGUAAAGCACUUUCAGCGGGGAGGCGUUACCCGCAGAAGAAGCACCGGCUAACUCCGUGCCAGCAGCCGCGGUAAUAC